AAGAAAAGUUCAGCACCAUCAGAGAGAAACAAGACAGAGAGAAUUCAUAGAAUGGCUUUAGGGCCUUUCCUCCAGGCGGAGGGAGGACGGCAGCUGUGGGUAAAGCCCGAAGGAGGAAUGCCUGAAGCGCCGAGGACGCCGCGGAGCCCCCGUGGGCAGCCAUCUUACCGCCGCCGCCGCCGCCGAACAACAACACAGACACACACGGACUGCCCUCCCCCACUUCGCCGUGCGGUGUGCGCAGGCGCAUUGACCGCCCCUCGAGCCCCGCCCCUCCCGUCCCCAGCGGUCUGCGCAGGCGCAUUUUCCGACCGGGCCCGCGCGCUCCCAGCUCUCGGGUUGGCUGCUCGGUUGCUGCCUGCUCAGUGCAUCCUUUUUGCCAUUGCUGGUGCCUUCCUCUCCGGGCUCCAAGGCUAGCCUCGCAGGCGCGGUGUCGAUUCCUAGAUUCCGAAGGAAGCUUCGGUCUCGGCAGAUAGUUCUUCGCAUUUCAGCUUCGCAAGCUUUAUUGACAGAGCCAACUGCCGAUGACAGCAUUUUUCUGUUUUGCGGUUGUACCGCACUCUAUUAGGUUUCCUGCAGGUCCCAUCAAAAUGCAAACCCUACCUCCUCGCUUUGAAGCGACUCUCCCCGUACUCGCCCCCCAGCCUCUAAACUAAUGGCUUAGCUAACCGAUUGCGACGAGUGAAAUACCAGAACCCUUCAUGCCAAAGAAAGCACUUAGCGCGGGGUUGCCACCCAGUAGGUUUUCAUAAACGAUUGUUUAGUCUGCUUUCCUUAAAUAAAUUGGCCAUCACGUCUCCCGUUAGGGUCUUAAUGAGACCCCAAGAGGCGUCAUUUGUAUAAAAAGAAACUCUGUAUAUGCAGUAGAGGAAAGAAAACAUAUAGAAAGGAGACUGGAAAAGUGUGCUCAAAACGCUGGUAACGGUUACCUCCAGAGAAGAGAACGAUCGGGACGAUGGUCAAAGCGGACCUUACUUCGAGUUUCUUAUUUAUCUUUUUAUUUUUAAACAAACAUUAUUGGCCGGGCGCGGUGGCUCAUGACUGUAAUCCCAGCACUUUGGAAGGCCGAGGUGGGAGAAUCGCUUGAGGCAAGGAGUUCGAGACCAGACUGGGAAAUAUAUCAAGAAUCCAUCUCAAAAAAAAAAAAAAAAAAAAGAUAUUCGUGUGUUCCUUGAAUAAUUUUAAGUAUUUUGCAAAACAGUUACAUGAGUGGGGUGCGCUCAAAUCCAAUAAUCCCCCACCUUGCCCAUAAAGUUAAAAGAGAUUCCAAGUGAUUCCGUUUGUUUUAGCCUCCCACCUUCCAACCUCCACCCACAUAUUUUGCAUCUUCAUAGGAAAAUGGCCCAAUAAAAGAUGGGAUGAGCUGUCUGAAGAAUUGACACAUCCUAAGAGUAAACAUGCUAUUGGGGAGAAUUAAGAAAGAGCCAUGUCAAAUCAAGGGGUAUAGUUUUUUGUUUUGUUUUGUUUGACAGGGAGUCUCGCUCUGUCGCCCAGGCUGGAGUGCAGUGGUGCAAUCUCAGUUUACUGAAAGCUCCGCCUCCCGGGUUCAAGCGAUUCUCCUGCCUCAGCCUCCCAAGUAGCUGGGAUUACAGGCACACGCCACCACGCCUGGCUAAUUUUUGUAUUUUUAAUAGAGACGAGGUUUCACCAUGUUGAGCAGGCUAGUCUCAAACUACUGACCUCAAGUGAUCCACCCGCCUCGGCCUCCCAAAGUGUUGGGAUUACAGGCGUGAGCCACCACACCCAGUCGGGCUGUAGUUUCAAGAAGAUAUGAUUGAUGUAAAAGAAAGCAGACUCCAGUAAUCCCAGCACUUUGGGAGGCCGAGGCGGGCGGAUCGCCCGAGGUCAGGAGUUCCAGACCAGCCUGGUCAACAUGGCGAAACCCCAUCUCUACUAAAAAUACAAAAAUUAGCUGCUGUGGUGGCGCGGGCACCUGUAAUCCCAGCUACUUGGGAGGCUGAGGCAGGAGAAUCACUUGAACCCGGGAGGCAGAGGUUGCAGUGAGCCGAGAUCAUGCCACUGUGCUCCAGCCUGGGUGACAGAGCAAGACUCCGUCUCAAAAAAAAAAAUGUAUUUUAAGUUAAAUGACAGAUUGGUCCUGGCACUGCCUUCCAGGUUGCUGCAGUUCUCUAGAUGGGCUGAGGAAGGGCAGGGAUCAGUCAUAAAUUUCGGCAGCUGAUUCCUUCACAUUUGAUGCAGAGGUGCAAAAACAGGCAAGGGAAGAAAGCCAAAUCAAGAAAGUGUUACCUCUGUCUCCCUUCAUCCUAAAGGCUGAGUCACUAGCCAGCCAUGCAAAAUCAAGCUCCACGUAAAAUGGUAUAACACCAUUAACUACAAAAACUAAACACAGUGAUUACUGUACCUCCAUCAGAUGGAGAGGCCAGUAAUGAGCUCUGCAGGUUUAUCAGGUUUAUUUCCAAAAUCUUAUAAUUCAGAUUUAAUGAUAUGAUUUUGAUUAACAGUGCAGGAAAAGGUG
rnacentral:lncRNA from 1 species